GAUGAACGCUGGCGGCGUGCCUAAUACAUGCAAGUCGAGCGAACAGACGCGGAGCUUGCUCCUCUGACGUUAGCGGCGGACGGGUGAGUAACACGUGGAUAACCUACCUAUCAGACUGGGAUAACUUCGGGAAACCGGAGCUAAUACCGGAUAAUAUAUUGAACCGCAUGGUUCAAUAGUGAAAGACGGUUUUGCUGUCACUUAUAGAUGGAUCCGCGCCGCAUUAGCUAGUUGGUAAGGUAACGGCUUACCAAGGCAACGAUGCGUAGCCGACCUGAGAGGGUGAUCGGCCACCCUGGAACUUAGCCACGGUCCAGACUCCUACGGGAGGCAGCAGUAGGGAAUCUUCCGCAAUGGGCGAAAGCCUGACGGAGCAACGCCGCGUGAGUGAUGAAGGUCUUCGGAGCGUAAAACUCUGUUAUUAGGGAAGAACAAAUGUGUAAGUAACUAUGCACGUCUUGACGGUACCUAAUCAGAAAGCCACGGCUAACUACGUG
rnacentral:rRNA from 1 species